rnacentral:rRNA from 1 species
AGUGAACGCUGGCGGUAGGCCUAACACAUGCAAGUCGAACGGCAGCACAGUAAGAGCUUGCUCUUACGGGUGGCGAGUGGCGGACGGGUGAGGAAUACAUCGGAAUCUACUUUUUCGUGGGGGAUAACGUAGGGAAACUUACGCUAAUACCGCAUACGACCUACGGGUGAAAGCAGGGGAUCUUCGGACCUUGCGCGAUUGAAUGAGCCGAUGUCGGAUUAGCUAGUUGGCGGGGUGAAGGCCCACCCAGGCGACGAUCCGUAGCUGGUCUGAGAGGAUGAUAAGCGACACUGGAACUGAGACACGGUCCAGACUCCUACGGGAGGCAGCAGUGGGGAAGAUUGGACAAUGGGCGCAAGCCUGAUCCAGCCAUACCGCGUGGGUGAAGAAGGCCUUCGGGUUGUAAAGCCCUUUUGUUGGGAAAGAAAAGCAGCAGGUUAAUACCCCGCUGUUCUGACGGUACCCAAAGAAUAAGCACCGGCUAACUUCGUG